UCCUCCUCCAAAUCCAUGUCCCCCGACAAUCUCUGCUCACAGCCGCCUCCAUAAACACAAUCAAUACUUCUAAUCCCUAUCUCUCUCCAUCUUAUCUUCUCCCUUAUCAAUAACAGUAACCCUAGAAUCUAGGAUUGAGAGAAGAUUAGGUUUAUCUUCACAGCUGGAAAAUUAGGUUUGCAGAGAUGAAUUGAAGAAGGGAACUGUCAGAAUACGCGUUUGGGUGUUUGAGAAGCUGAAAUACAAACUCAGGGAAAAGAGAAAAAGGAAUAUGUACCUGCAAUACUGUUUUUCAAAACCAAAAGUGGAGAGGAAGGAGCGAAACAAGCCUGAGUAUCGUGCUUAAACUUGCUGUACUGACGAUAUCACUUCCUAAACUUGCUAUUUUUGAUGAUUAUGUGAAUGAUAUACAAUGCUUGUCUGCUGAACUAGUGCUAGUUGAAUUGUUAUAUCACUGUGUAUCUAUUAUCUCAGCAGAACUCGUGUCUGAGUGCUUUCGGCCCUGAAUCUGAUUGCUAUUCUAAAUAGUUGUGCAAUCCCUAUUUCCCAGAUUUGCGGAUUGCUACUUGUCCGACA